rnacentral:lncRNA from 1 species
GCUCAGUGGGUUAACGAUCUGGCGUUGCUGUGAGCUGUGGUGUAGGUCGCAGAUGCGGCUCGGAUCCCGCACUGCUGUGGCUCUGGCGUAGGCUGGCAGCUACAGCUCCGAUUAGACCCCUAUUCUGGGAACCUCCAUGUGCCGCAGGAGUGGCCCAAGAAAUGGCAGAAAGACAAAAAAAAAAGAUCAACUUGAAUGAGAAAUUUGCAUAGUCGCAUGACCAAUGGUCACACACAUAGGGACAUUGUUUUUCUAGCCCCCAAAUUAUGGAUGGUGCCCCAAUAUAGGUAUACAUGGUAUAAGCCUAUGGCAGAAAGAAAGUCAUUUCUCAUCCAACUGUUUAAGCCUAGUUUCUCUUGAAUAGUCACACCAAGAUGUUGUGAAUAUAUUGUUAUGGCUAAAGCGAUAUAAUAGAAGCCCCCAAACCAUGGUGAUUUAGCUUUUCAAUGGGUUAUGAUUUUGCCUUUUAAUUGCCAAUUUGGACUUUUACCUUUUUUUUUUUUUUUUUUUUUUUUAAAUAACUCUCCACAGGUGUUUGUAAGCUGUUUGCACAGCCUGGGAAGACAUGAGGCUGGGCACCGGCUGGGGAAGGCUUGGGACAGCAGCCCUCCUGGCCUGAAGUUAAACUUUGGCUAUGAGGAGAUGAGUCUGGCAGGUGCACAGGGAGUUCCCCCUCCAGACGGGGUGGCGAGGACCCAAGAGAAGAGAGGAGAGAAAGAACCCGUGCCCAGAAACCUGGCCUUGACUGUGACCACAGCAUACACCAAAGGCACACAGGCACGCUGCCGUCAGGGAAAUGAAGACAGUGCAGUGUGGGGAGGUGUGCAUGAUUGAAGGCAGCUUCCCACAGCUGUGAGCCAGGUAACAAGCUCAGUGAAGGCGUUGUCACGCUUUCAAACGCCUGAAAAGAGGAGCAAAGAGACAACAGAGGAAGAUGUUUUCGGUGUGAUCAAAGGGCAGUCGGAUCACCCCAGGGAGGGAAGUGGUUGGCGCGCCGUGCAUGUGUGGAGGGAAGUGACAGGUGCAAAUACAGGAGGGCACCCCACAUUUCCUUACCAUCCAGAAACCCAUUAAGCAGGAGGCAGCUGGCCAGGGAGUCAGAGGGCUGAAUAGCCCACUGACCUCCAAAAAUUAGCCUCCUUCCAUUUCCAACUCUUAAGGUUCUAUUUGCUUGGCUUAGUUUAUAUCUAGGGAAUCUCCAAGACUCUUUCAAGAAGAGACUUUUGCAUCCCUGUUAUCUAGAAAAAGGGUGAUGUUUUCUGUCCACUCUCCCUGAAAUGCCAUCUCAGACAUUAAGUUAACUGUAGCAAAGGAACUUUCUAAAUCCUUAUCAAAGGACUAUGGUCACCUGAAUGAAACUGUCUGGGCAUUCAGGAGCAAAUGACACAUGUAGUCUUAGGAAAUUGUUUUGCAAGGAAUACAGGUUUAUAUUAAAGCUCUGAAGCAAGUACAAUAAACGCUCCACAUCAUCUUAGAGAAUGCUUGCA